rnacentral:misc_RNA from 1 species
GAUGAAGAACGCAGCGAAAUGCGAUAAGUAAUGUGAAUUGCAGAAUUCAGUGAAUCAUCGAAUCUUUGAACGCACAUUGCGCCCCUUGGUAUUCCGAGGGGCAUGCCUGUUCGAGCGUCAUUAUAACCCCUCAAGCUCAGCUUGGUGUUGGGGCCUGCUGCACUGGCAGCCCUUAAAAUCAGUGGCGGCGCCAUCUGGCUCUAAGCGUAGUAAUUCUUCUCGCUAUGGAGUCCUGGUGGAUGCUUGCCAUCAACCCCCAAUUUUUCUAUGGUUGACCUCGGAUCAGGUAGGGAUACCCGCUGAACUUAAGCGUAUCAAUAAGCGGAGGA